rnacentral:rRNA from 1 species
UACGGAGGGUGCGAGCGUUGUCCGGAAUCACUGGGCGUAAAGGGCGCGUAGGCGGCAUGCCAAGCGUGUGGUGAAAGCCCGGGGCUCAACCCCCGGGUCGGCCGUGCGGACUGGCGUGCUCGAGCACUGUAGGGGCGGGUGGAAUUCCGGGUGUAGCGGUGGAAUGCGUAGAGGAUCCGGAAGAACACCGGUGGCGAAGGCGGCCCGCUGGGCAGGAAGGCCUCGU